rnacentral:lncRNA from 1 species
CCACUCACUUUAAUCCUGGGUCACAAGAAGAGGACUUUGGGGAAUGAUCCUCUGAACUAUUAUUUCUUGCUUAUCCACUGAAUUACACUUAAAAUUUCAACAAUACGUCCUCAUUGGGAGCCUCAUGCAAACGAGUCAGGAUCCCUCAUAUUAUCCAAGUUCUGCCUACGGAACUAUAAGCAGGACAUGUAUGUAUUCCUAUUGAUGACUGACAGUGACUCCACUGUCAGCCAUGAAAGAACUCCCUUGUGUAAGAAAGUGCAGUGCCAUGCAGUUAGUGAAUAAAGUUCUGGAAAAAUGGAACCAUUAGAGUUAAAUCAAUAUAUUUAGAAAAUCUAGGAAACCCAGUAAAUGGGUAGGUAGAACUCUGCAGUGGACUCAGGGUUCGUCACAGACAGAGGCGGUAAAGUAAUUCACCCAGGCCUCGGAAUAGGAGCAGCAACGAACAUUUUCCACAUCAAAGGUUUUAAUCUUAGAAAAGGGAUCACAAAAAAGACACAUCAUUCAUCUUAUUUUAUAGAAUUAGAAAAUGAUUUAAGUGAUUAAUGCCUAGAUCUUCCAAUCUCUAAACGGAGCACUAUAAAUUUUAGACAUCUAUUUUUUUAGUGAUAAUAAUAGCUGUUCUGAAAUGUUCAGCUUCUCACUGGGAAAAAAAAAAAAAGAAGAAAAGAAAAAGUCGCGAUUCAAUAAUUUACUCGACCCAAUUCUUUCUUGUAGAGUUCUACAGGAUGAGCCAUCAUUGUCACAGUUUUCAUGCCUGACCUGUCUCCAGAGCUCUUCAAACCUUCGGAAGCAAGAAUGUUUUUAUCUGCUAUCCUCCAGAAUCACCCUCAGGUUACCUGACCCCACUAAAUCGAAAAUGGGGGUAAAAAUCUCUGCUGCAAAUUCCUCCUGGCUCUGCCACCUUGGCCAGUCAUUCCACCAAACGGAUCGUGCCUUGCAGAUGAAAGUCGUCAAACUGAAAGGGAAGUGGUCGUUGCAAACUGAUUUCCUAAUUGAUCUCUUUGUUCAACCUGCAUCUACAGGGGAGUUUCUGUGUCCCAAGCAGUGCUGGAUGCUGAGGUACAAAGAGUGCAUCCUGGAGGUCCUUAAGGAAGAAGCAGUCCCAGCCUGUAAAAGGCUCCCAGCAGAAAGAGGAAAUGUGUUUGUCAUCAAGAUUAAGCGUCAGGACGAAUAUGAGAAAAGCCUUUUGGAAACAAUGUGUGUAAAUAUUAUCUCAGUCACUUUAUAG